UACGGAGGGUGCGAGCGUUAAUCGGAAUUACUGGGCGUAAAGCGCACGUAGGCGGUCAGGCAAGUCGGGUGUGAAAGCCCUGGGCUCAACCUGGGAAUUGCAUUCGAAACUAUCUGACUCGAGUAUGGGAGAGGGAAGCGGAAUUUCCGGUGUAGCGGUGAAAUGCGUAGAUAUCGGAAGGAACACCAGUGGCGAAGGCGGCUUCCUGGACUAAUACUGACGCUGAGGUGCGAAAGCGUGGGGAGCAAAC
rnacentral:rRNA from 2 species